rnacentral:lncRNA from 1 species
AGAAGAUUAUGGAACAUCUGUUUUGUGUGGUUUUUGUUUGUUAAAAUGAACAAGACAUUCAAACUGUGAGAACUUAGGCAUCUAAAUGUAGGGAAAAAAGGCAGAAUUUAGGAUUGACACAUAGAAACAAAUUUUAGAGGAAGCUUGCAUUUGGUGUAAUAUUCUCAUAGCAAUUCCACAUGGUAAAAAAGGAAAGGGAAACCCGAA